UCCUUCGCUUGUUUUCAUUACUGAGGAUAGGACCCAGAAGUGCUCCACCAUUACCACUAACACUUGAUUUUUAUUUAAGGGUAGGACCUGGGUUAGUUGCCCAGCCUGGGCUCAAAUUUAGGAUUCUUAUGCCUCAGUCUCCUGAAUAAAUGGAAAUAAGUUUGCCCCACAGACCUCUGCCAAAUUUUGAGUUUUACUUGUUUUGGGAAAAAUUUGUAUUUUACUGUUUUUGGGCAAUGUGCCACUCCACAUUCUCUCUUGAUGGUGGGCACAGGCCUGGUGUUCCUUCAGGAGAAGAACCCUUAAUCUAGAAUGCUUUGUUGCUAAAUUGUAUUACUUGGUGAGAUGUUUUAUAUUUUAACUUACAGUAGGUUGUCUGUCUAUUGCUAGAAGUAUAUAGCACAUGUUAAACUUUUUAAUUCUGGAAAUGGUGAACAAUAAAUUGUACAGUUCUGUAGUGAAAUGAAUGUGAGAGAAACAGAAACCCCAGAAAAAAUGACUCACCAAUCCCAGCAGAAGAUCCAGAAAUAAUCCAGUCAUAGAGGCAGUGUGCUAUUUGCUGUAUGUGGACAGAGAUUCUGAACAUCCUCAACCCUAUAUAGAGACUUCACCUUUGGAGAUCCGCAGUAGAGUGGAAUUCAAACUUUGCCCAAUUAUGGAGUCAGCUGUGCACAUCCAGAAGGACAGCAGGUAUAAAGACAGCUACAUGGACUUUUCAUCAAAAGGUAUUAGGUCAGAUGAUGGAUACACAGGAACAAUGGGGUCAACUGCAUACUACAUAUGGGAGAUUGCAGCCACGUGGCGAGUCUAUGGAGUCAUAAUCUUUCUUCUACCAGGAAACAGAACCCCUUGGAUGUGACCAAUGCAGGUGAAGCCCAACACUCUCUCACUGCAAUAUGCAGUAUGGGAUUCUACAAUGAGAUGUAAAGUGUGGGAGAUGAAGGAGUAAGGAGGUAGAGUCAACCUGGAGUUAAUGUUGUGCAGGUCCUUCUUCCAUUGCUAGGAGAAUACUUCACAAAACAUUAAAAUACUGGCAGUGACUAGUUAAAAUGGGCCUGGUAUCCAUCAGGAUGGACAGAGCCAAAUGCAUUGGAGACAACUCAGUCUAACUUCCUGGGAAAACAGCAUUCUCAUCACUCUUCACCUCUCUCCAUUUGCACCAUUUGGAGGUCAUCAGCUUAUGUUUUGUGGGCUGUGAGCAGAGGAACUGUUGGUUACUAUGGUAUUAAGUGGUUCAAGAGUUUGGGAAAUGAUUUAUCUUCUCUUAAGGCCUCAUCCAAGUGACAGCAUUCACACUUUAUCUCCAUUCUCCUUUCUUUUUUAGAUAGAUAAAAUGCCAGAGAAAUGAACAGUUUUUACCUCUGUGAAAAUUUUGCUGUGAUUUCCUCUGGUGCUGGGAGACACGCCAGCAGCCCACUGUGUCAAAAAAAAAAAAAAAAAACCACACAAAGUCAUCCUCUGAAGGAGAGGCCUCACACUACCUCCUGAACACUUGGAGACCAAACGGGAGGUGUGAUAAACAUCAGGGAGCAAUAUGGGUAUGGCCUUGAUGCUUUCUGUAGCUUGAAGGACUGGAGAAGACCAACAACUGGAACAGCAUUCAAGUAAUGAUCCUCAGUGGAAAUAAUAAUCAUUGUGAAUAAUCAGUGAUACUUUCUUUUUUUUUUUUUUUAUUUAAGAGGAAAAAGAGAAAAACACAAAACAAACCAAAGCGGCGUAAGGGUACACGCAAUACAGAACUACAAAACAAAACAAAACAAAACAAAACAAAACAAAAAACCAUAACAGUAAGAAAUUACCUGCUAGUAGAUUACACACUAUUUUCUUGAAAAUAGUUCCUCAAAUCACAGUAUCAAAGAACACAAGGUGGACAUUCAAACAGGGAGACUGCAAACAGCUGUGUUCAAUGUUCCAAAAACAUUGAUAAAGUCAGCUAUUUAACACCCCCAAACACACUUGCUGUUAUAUCCGUUAGAGCUCCUUUUCUUUUUUUUUUUUUCCCUCUCUUUUUUACAACAAAAUUUACACAUCUUGGAUUUUAUUACUCCUUAGUGCUUAUUACUUUCUUUGGGGGGGUAAACAGAACUGGCUUGUAAAGGAAAACAGAACUGGCUUGUAAAGGAAAGCUUCUUAGGUAUCAAAGACUGAUGGUAACUGCUGCAAAGGACUCUCCUAAAAUCCUAUUUAUUCUGAGUCUAUUUUAUUCCUCAAUUAACAAACCUGCCGUUAAAUAAUCUGGAUCUUGGUAUUCACUGCAAGAAAAACCUUAUUCUAGGGGUAAAGGGCUAAAUCAGGGCCCACCAUCAUAAUGCAGAGAAUUCGUCUGCAAGUGUAAAUGGAGAAGGCGAUGACCUGGCAUCACUGCUUAGCUGUUCAGUGGGCCUUCAUUAGGGCCCAGAGACUGCCAUGCUGCAGCACAAGGUCCGCAGACACUGUGGCCUAAGUGUUGAGACCCUCAGAGCUCCUCAGGAUGGAACGGGAAUGGAGUGCAGGUAAUUUUAUCACAAGGGCUUCAGUCUUUUUCUCUUAGUUUCUGGAUGAUUGCCACAGUCUUAUAAGUUCAACAGCUUCUCAAAGAUGAUUAGAAACAGCAGGAGUGAGGCAGCAUACACAUUGUCCUUCACUAUGUAAGCAACCCCUCAUAAACUCAGUCACUAAGUUGUAGUUGUCUGUGUCAUGCUGUGUGCCUUCUCAGUUUGGAGGCAAAUGUUUCUUUUAUAUCUUUCUAUCAA